UGGGGAAUUUUGGACAAUGGGGGCAACCCUGAUCCAGCCAUGCCGCGUGAGUGAAGAAGGCCUUCGGGUUGUAAAGCUCUUUCGGCCGGGAAGAAAUCGCAUGGGUUAAUACCCUGUGUGGAUGACGGUACCGGAAUAAGAAGCACCGGCUAACUACGUGCCAGCAGCCGCGGUAAGACAGAGGGUGCAAACGUUGUUCGGAGUUACUGGGCGUAAAGCGCGUGUAGGCGGCUCUGAUAAGUGAGGUGUGAAAGCCCUGGGCUCAACCCAGGAAGUGCAUUUGUGACUGUAUAGCUAGAGUACGGCAGAGGGGGAUGGAAUUCCGCGUGUAGCAGUGAAAUGCGUAGAUAUGCGGAGGAACACCGAUGGCGAAGGCAAUCCCCUGGGCCUGCACUGACGCUCAUGCACGAAAGCGUGGGGAGCAAACA
rnacentral:rRNA from 1 species